UCCAUCAGCCCUCUGGCCCUUCCCUGGGAUCCUGCAUGUGCUGUUGCCUUGGCACACAACACACAUGCAAGCCUGAAGCUUCCCAGAAGCUCUGAAAGAGGCACAACAUGGAUCUGGGAAAGGCCAGGCUGAGGCACAUCUGUGUCCUACAGCUGUGGGCAAUGAAGGGUUAGUUUCUCUCCAGGCUCUGAAGGCACAUCUCUGAAGCAUCAGGCUAUUUCUGCUCAGCAUGUCUGAUUUCAGAUGAGAGCUCUGCUGUGGGAUAGAGCUGGCAUGUGGGAUAAGAGGGAAUAAAAUUAUGCACAGGAUAUUUUGGUGCAGGGUUUCCUACACCUACUUCUAUUGUCCUUCUCUGACUGAAGGCUCCAUCUGGUACAUUCAUGGCUGGGCACAGUGGCUGGAGGGCAGCAGAAGGCGGAGCAAGAGCCACGCUGGGCCAGGACUUUCAUCUCCUCCAUCCUACCCCUUGGGCCAGUCCCUCUGAACACCUGAUGCCCAAAACAGGCGACAAAACUGAGGAAUGCUAUUACUGUUGUUGUUAUUAUUAAUAAUAAUAAUUAAUGUUUGGAGCAAACAGGCUGUUCUGUCCCCACCAAGGCCAUGUGUAGAGGCCCAGUGACCACAACCAGGGACUUUCAGGAAGGAUGACCUGUGGUGUCUGUUGAGGCCAGCACUGCCGUGGGGGUGUCAGAGGAGCGAGGGUGGCAGGAAGGGGUUGGGCAGGAGCUGUCCUGAGCACGUCAUAGGUUACAAGGUAAGAUGUAACCAAAAGUAUGUAUUCUAUCACCAUCUUCAUAAGAUGUUAAAACCAGGUGAGGCAGUGCUCUUUAUCCCUUCCAUGACUCAUCCCUGAUAACUCCCUCCGGAGAGAUAUCUUCUGUUAAUGAGCCAGCUGUUAAACACAGGUGGGGCAGUGUUCUUUAUCUGAUACCUCCCUCCAGGAGAUAUCUUCUGUUAAUGGGCCAUCAAGGCCUCAUUGCAUGACUCAUAAAAUGACACCAUCCCAUUAUGAGACGCUCCGCCCAGGGGGAGGAACCAAGCAUUCCUAGCCGGAUAUAAUCCGAGGUUUGGAACACCACUAGCCUUGCCUACUGGAUUCCCAGAGGACAAGAGCUGCAUAACCACUGCUGGACCUUCAGAGGAGCAUCAGACCCUUCCACACGAUCACCACAUCAACGGGAUUGCAGCCACCAUUUAAUGGGACUGCUACCACCACCCUGCCCGGCAGGGUGGCACAUUGCAUCCUGACUCUGGCAGUUUAAGCCAGUGUUUCUGUAUUUUUGCCUUUAUCUUAAUUUUCCUAUUAAACUGUAAUUGUGA